UACGUAGGGACCAAGCGUUGUUCGGAUUUACUGGGCGUAAAGGGCGCGUAGGCGGCGCGGUAAGUCACUUGUGAAAUCUCUGAGCUUAACUCAGAACGGCCAAGUGAUACUGCAGUGCUAGAGUGUGGAAGGGGCAAUCGGAAUUCUUGGUGUAGCGGUGAAAUGCGUAGAUAUCAAGAGGAACACCUGAGGUGAAGACGGGUUGCUGGGCCAACACUGACGCUUAGGCGCGAAAGCCAGGGGAGCAAACGGG
rnacentral:rRNA from 1 species